GACGAACGCUGGCGGCGUGCUUAACACAUGCAAGUCGAACGGAAAGGCCCUGCUUUUGUGGGGUUCUCGAGUGGCGAACGGGUGAGUGACACGUGAGUAACCUGCCCUUGACUUUGGGAUAACUUCAGGAAACUGGGGCUAAUACCGGAUAGGAUCUCCUGCUGCAUGGUGGGGGUUGGAAAGUUUCGGCGGUUGGGGCUGGACUCGCGGCUUAUCCGCUUGUUGGUGGGGUAGUGGCUUACCAAGGCUUUGACGGGUAGCCGGCCUGAGAGGGUGACCGGCCACAUUGGGACUGAGAUACGGCCCAGACUCCUACGGGAGGCAGCAGUGGGGAAUAUUGCACAAUGGGGGGAAGCCUGAUGCAGCAACGCCGCGUGCGGGAUGACGGCCUUCGGGUUGUAAACCGCUUUCGCCUGUGACGAAGCGUGAGUGACGGUAAUGGGUAAAGAAGCACCGGCUAACUACGUG
rnacentral:rRNA from 1 species